CCGAUGGUUUUGUUUUUGCAUGCAACUACUUCUAUCAGAUCCGUGCGUUCCAGCCAUCGAGGCAUGCAGAGCCAGAGCUAACAACUGUACAUCACUUUGCAGCAUACACUCAUCGCAUGGAGUGACUCUUUCGACAGCAACAUAGCUUGGAUGUGCCAUUUUGUCAAAUUAUCUCCCAAGCAUUAGCAUAGUGAAUGCCUAAUGCGCUUACACUUUCUGAGAAGAAGACAAAGCAAUACCUUGUGCUGAGCACGCGCCCGCAUGUUUAUAUUCAUGGAAGUUUUGUCCUAUGCGAGCUCGAACUGGAGCACUGAAGCAAAGGUGAACCAAAAACGGCGUCAGAAAGAUGAAAACGAGAAAAUCUAAUGGACUGUAACAUCAAGCUGAAGUUGGCUUGAUCUGGGCUACAGGCAUGCCCCAUGCAUGCAUGAAAGAUUGGAAGAAUAUGUGCCAAACCAAGGCUUCCUGAGCACCACCCCUGGACCUAGUAGUUGCCACUACCACCUGUAGGCUGUUGCCAUGGCCUUGGAAGAUGGGGGACUACAGUGCUGCAUCUGUUCUAUGGUCCGUGUAAAAUAUGCAUGCCAUCUUGUCCUCAUAUGAUUCUGAACAUUACGUUCAGUGACAAACCCUACCCCCUAAAUCAUGGUUAUGUCAUUUCAUACAAAAUGCUGGCGUGGU